rnacentral:lncRNA from 1 species
AUGUGUAUCAGGUACCAUCUGGACUUGAAAGGGAAGGGUUUACUUUUCAAGGUGACAUACACAGAAAAGACUGGGAAAUAUAAGCUGGAAAGGCAAGGAACCUCAAGAUCUGGGGUUCUGUUACUGACAGCUGCCCUCAGGAAAUGUCCUAUGGCCAGCACCGGAGAUAAAUUCCAGAAACGGCUGACAUUCAGGAAGCGAACAGCCAAAGGUAAACUGUCAUCACAGCCGUUAGAAAAAAAAAAAAAGGAAUAAUCACACUCAGAUCUCUCCCACCAC